AACGAACGCUGGCGGCAUGCCUAACACAUGCAAGUCGAACGAGACCUUCGGGUCUAGUGGCGCACGGGUGCGUAACGCGUGGGAACCUGCCCUUAGGUUCGGAAUAACUCCCCGAAAGGGGUGCUAAUACCGGAUAAUGUCUUCGGACCAAAGAUUUAUCGCCUUUGGAUGGGCCCGCGUUGGAUUAGCUAGUUGGUAGGGUAAAAGCCUACCAAGGCGACGAUCCAUAGCUGGUCUGAGAGGAUGAUCAGCCACACUGGGACUGAGACACGGCCCAGACUCCUACGGGAGGCAGCAGUGGGGAAUAGUGGACAAUGGGCGAAAGCCUGAUCCAGCAAUGCCGCGUGAGUGAUGAAGGCCUUAGGGUUGUAAAGCUCUUUUACCCGGGAUGAUAAUGACAGUACCGGGAGAAUAAGCUCCGGCUAACUACGUG
rnacentral:rRNA from 1 species